rnacentral:rRNA from 1 species
AACGAACGCUGGCGGCAGGCUUAACACAUGCAAGUCGAACGCUCCGCAAGGAGAGUGGCAGACGGGUGAGUAACACGUGGGAACGUACCCUUCACUACGGAACAACUCCGGGAAACUGGAGCUAAUACCGUAUGUGCCCUUUGGGGGAAAGAUUUAUCGGUAAAGGAUCGGCCCGCGUUGGGUUAGCUAGUUGGUGGGGUAAAGGCCUACCAAGGCGACGAUCCAUAGCUGGUCUGAGAGGAUGAUCAGCCACAUUGGGACUGAGACACGGCCCAAACUCCUACGGGGGGCAGCAGUGGGGAAUAUUGGACAAUGGGCGCAAGCUUGAUCCAGCCAGGCCGCGUGUGUGAUGAAGGCCUUAGGGUUGUAAAGCACUUUCACCGGAGAAGAUAAUGACGGUAUCCGGAGAAGAAGCCCCGGCUAACUUCGUGCCAGCAGCCGCCGUAACAC